rnacentral:rRNA from 1 species
UACGUAGGGGGCGAGCGUUGUCCGAAGUUACUGGGCGUAAAGAGCGCGUAGGCUGGUCUUUAAGUGAGUGGUGAAAGGUUCGGGCUCAACCCGGACACUGCCUUUCAUACUGGGGACCUUGAGUGUGGGAGAGGCGAGUGGAAUGGUCGGUGUAGCGGUGAAAUGCGUAGAUAUCGAUCGGAACACCCAUGGCGAAGGCAGCUCGCUGGCCUAACACUGACGCUGAGGCGCGAAAGCGUGGGGAGCAAGACGG